UACGGAGGUGGCAAGCGUUAUUCGGAAUUAUUGGGCGUAAAGGGCGCGUAGGCGGCCGUACAAGUCAGGGGUGAAAUCCCUCGGCUCAACCGAGGAACUGCCUCUGAAACUGUAUGGCUUGAGACCGGGAGAGGGUGGUGGAAUUCCUAGUGUAGCGGUGAAAUGCGUAGAUAUUAGGAGGAACACCAGUGGCGAAGGCGACCACCUGGACCGGAUCUGACGCUGAGGCGCGAAAGUGUGGGGAGCAAACAGG
rnacentral:rRNA from 1 species